GACGAACGCUGGGGGCGUGCUUAACACAUGCAAGUCGAACGGAAAGGCCCUGCUUUUGUGGGGUGCUCGAGUGGCGAACGGGUGAGUAACACGUGAGUAACCUGCCCUUGACUUUGGGGUAACUUCAGGAAACUGGGGCUAAUACCGGAUAGGAGCUCCUGCUGCAUGGUGGGGGUUGGAAAGUUUCGGCGGUUGGGGAUGGACUCGCGGCUUAUCAGCUUGUUGGUGGGGUAGUGGCUUACCAAGGCUUUGACGGGUAGCCGGCCUGAGAGGGUGACCGGCCACAUUGGGACUGAGAUACGGCCCAGACUCCUACGGGAGGCAGCAGUGGGGAAUAUUGCACAAUGGGCGGAAGCCUGAUGCAGCAACGCCGCGUGCGGGAUGACGGCCUUCGGGUUGUAAACCGCUUUCGCCUGUGACGAAGCGUGAGUGACGGUAAUGGGUAAAGAAGCACCGGCUAACUACGUG
rnacentral:rRNA from 1 species